GCUGCUUGUCUUUUACGGCUCUUCAGCGCCCACCACGACCCACUCCUCUAGGAGACCCUGGGCGACAGUGGGGCUCUUGGGCAUUCUGAGACUGCGCUUGGUGGAGCCCCCUACUGGCCCGACCGGAUUUCUCAGACUGCGACUCAGCCCCAGGCUACACGAAAGAAGCCGGACCUGGCUUUUACUGCCUCCUGAGGCCUUCCUCUUGUUCACACUGUGUCCCGUCCCUCCAAAUCCGGCUACACUCUACUGGCAAGGAGCACCUGGGCCAUGUUUUAGAGAUCAUCCGAGGACUAACCCCAAAAGUUUAUGAAGAGAAAGCAGAGGCCGAGCUGAAGAGAUGGACCUGGGUCACACCCAGGUAAAGGCAGGAUCUAAACUGAAACUGGUGUCAGAUCUGGUUGCCAUGCACCCCUGAUAUCAGGUGAAGCAACACUGGGCAGGAUAGAGCAGAGUGAGGUCAGAGUGUGAAGAUUCAGCCUGAUGCCCAAACUGACGCCUCUUCAUUCUCCCCCGCUCCAUCUGUAAAAGUCACGGUUAAUCCAUCUACUUUAUUGCAUUAUAUGGAGAAAUAAAUGAAAUGUCAUAGUUGUG
rnacentral:antisense_RNA from 1 species